CGGUAAUACGGAAGGUCCGGGCGUUAUCCGGAUUUAUUGGGUUUAAAGGGAGCGUAGGCUGGAGAUUAAGUGUGUUGUGAAAUGUAGACGCUCAACGUCUGACUUGCAGCGCAUACUGGUUUCCUUGAGUACGCACAACGUUGGCGGAAUUCGUCGUGUAGCGGUGAAAUGCUUAGAUAUGACGAAGAACUCCGAUUGCGAAGGCAGCUGACGGGAGCGCAACUGACGCUGAAGCUCGAAGGUGCGGGUAUCGAACAGGAUUAGAUACCCUGGUAGUCCGCACAGUAAACGAUGGAUGCCCGCUGUUGGUACCUGGUAUCAGCGGCUAAGCGAAAGCAUUAAGCAUCCCACCUGGGGAGUACGCCGGCAACGGUGAAACUCAAAGGAAUUGACGGGGGCCCGCACAAGCGGAGGAACAUGUGGUUUAAUUCGAUGAUACGCGAGGAACCUUACCCGGGCUUGAAUUGCAGACGAACGAUUCAGAGA
rnacentral:rRNA from 1 species